AUCGCUUCUCGGCCUUUUGGCUAAGAUCAAGUGUAGAAAGACAUACUAAAGUUUACCACAUUUUUCAAAUUUUUACUUCUAUUCACAUGUGUUUGCAGUACAUAUCAAUUACAUUCAUCAAAUGAAACGACA
rnacentral:snRNA from 1 species